AUUGAACGCUGGCGGCAGGCUUAACACAUGCAAGUCGAGCGGGGUGAUGGUGCUUGCACUAUCACUUAGCGGCGGACGGGUGAGUAAUGCUUAGGAAUCUGCCUAUUAGUGGGGGACAACAUCCCGAAAGGGAUGCUAAUACCGCAUACGUCCUACGGGAGAAAGCAGGGGAUCACUUGUGACCUUGCGCUAAUAGAUGAGCCUAAGUCGGAUUAGCUAGCUGGUGGGGUAAAGGCCUACCAAGGCGACGAUCUGUAGCGGGUCUGAGAGGAUGAGACGCCACACUGGGACUGAGACACGGCCCAGACUCCUACGGGAGGCAGCAGUGGGGAAUAUUGGACAAUGGGGGGAACCCUGAGCCAGCCAUGCCGCGUAUGUGAAGAAGGCCUUAUGGUUGUAAAGCACUUUAAGCGAGGAGGAGGCUCUUUUGGUUAAUACCCAAGAUGAGUGGACGUUACUCGCAGAAUAAGCACCGGCUAACCCUUUGCCAGCCGCCGCGGUAA
rnacentral:rRNA from 1 species